rnacentral:rRNA from 1 species
GACGAACGCUGGCGGCGUGCUUAACACAUGCAAGUCGAACGGAAAGGCCCUGCUUUUGUGGGGUGCUCGAGUGGCGAACGGGUGAGUAACACGUGAGUAACCUGCCCUUGACUUUGGGAUAACUUCAGGAAACUGGGGCUAAUACCGGAUAGGAGCUCCUGCUGCAUGGUGGGGGUUGGAAAGUUUCGGCGGUUGGGGAUGGACUCGCGGCUUAUCAGCUUGUUGGUGGGGUAGUGGCUUACCAAGGCUUUGACGGGUAGCCGGCCUGAGAGGGUGACCGGCCACACUGGGACUGUGAUACGGCCCAGACUCCUACGGGAGGCAGCAGUGGGGAAUAUUGCACAAUGGGCGGAAGCCUGAUGCAGCAACGCCGCGUGCGGGAUGACGGCCUUCGGGUUGUAAACCGCUUUCGCCUGUGACGAAGCGUGAGUGACGGUAAUGGGUAAAGAAGCACCGGCUAACUACGUG